rnacentral:snRNA from 15 species
AUCCAAGUGCACGGGCGUUUUCCUUCUCCGUGAAGCGAUAAGCUGAGAGAGGAAUUUUGCUAGUUGAAAACUAUACACUGACCACUCCUGGUUGGGUUCGCCUGGCCAGGGAAUAUUUGGAACCCUUCACAAGC